GAUAAACGCUGGCGGCGUGCUUUAUGCAUGCAAGUCGAACGGUCUUGAUUUAUCAAGAUAGUGGCAAACGGGUGAGUAACGCGUAAGUAACCUGCCUCUAAGUUGGGGAUAGUCUCGGGAAACUGAGGUUAAUACCGUAUGUGAUGGUGAAGGUAAAGCUUCAUCAUUAAAGCCUUAGGGCGCUUGGAGAGGGGCUUGCGUCCGAUUAGCUUGUUGGUGAGGUAACGGCCCACCAAGGCUAUGAUCGGUAGCUGGUCUGAGAGGAUGAUCAGCCACACUGGGACUGGGACACGGCCCAGACUCCUACGGGAGGCAGCAGCAAGGAAUAUUGUGCAAUGGGCGAAAGCCUGACACAGCGACGUCGCGUGAGGGAUGAAGGCCUUCGGGUUGUAAACCUCUUUUCUCAGGGAAGAAUAAUGACGGUACCUGAGGAAUAAGUCUCGGCUAACUACGUGCCAGCAGCCGCGGUAAUACGUAGGAGGCAAGCGUUAUCCGGAUUUAUUGGGCGUAAAGAGGGUGUAGGUGGCUCUUCAAGUCGGAUGUGAAAUCUCCCGGCUCAACCGGGAGGGGUCAUUCGAUACUGCUGGGCUAGAGUGCAGUAGAGGGAGGUGGAAUUCCCGGUGUAGUGGUGAAAUGCGUAGAUAUCGGGAGGAACACCAGUGGCGAAGGCGGCCUCCUGGGCUGUUACUGACACUGAGACCCGAAAGCGUGGGUAGCAAACAGGAUUAGAUACCCUGGUAGUCCACGCCGUAAACGAUGGACACUAGGUAUGGGGAGUAUCGACCCUCUCCGUGCCGGAGCUAACGCAUUAAGUGUCCCGCCUGGGGAGUACGGUCGCAAGACUAAAACUCAAAGGAAUUGACGGGGGCCCGCACAAGCAGCGGAGCGUGUGGUUUAAUUCGAUGCAACACGAAAAACCUUACCAAGGCUUGACAUGUCGGAAGUAGGAACCUGAAAGGGGGACGACCUGUUAAGUCAGGAACCGUCACAGGUGCUGCAUGGCUGUCGUCAGCUCGUGCCGUGAGGUGUCGGGUUAAGUCCCAUAACGAGCGCAACCCCUAUUGCUAGUUAAUUUCUCUAGCGAGACUGCCCUGCAAAACGGGGAGGAAGGUGGGGAUGACGUCAAGUCAGCAUGGCCCUUAUGCCUUGGGCUACACACACGCUACAAUGGGU
rnacentral:rRNA from 1 species